ACCAGAGAUUCAGUGAAAUUGUAGUGGAGGUGAAAAUUCCUCCUACCCGCGGCAAGACGGAGAGACCCCGUGGACCUUUACUACAACUUAGCACUGCUAACGGGAAUAUCAUGCGCAGGAUAGGUGGGAGGCUUUGAAGUAAGGGCUUUGGCUCUUAUGGAGCCAUCCUUGAGAUACCACCCUUGAUGUUUCUGUUAGCUA
rnacentral:rRNA from 1 species